rnacentral:misc_RNA from 1 species
GCGCCGGCAAUCUGAGAUAUCCUGCCGCGGCGGUUCGACACGGAACAGUCGCUGCCUUUGGCAACGCCGCAGUAUUUUUGUUCUUAACUGUUUUAUAGUUUAACUGUUACUAGCGGUUCUGAUAAGUCUCCGAGACUCAACGAUUCCACCCGGCGCAUUUUUUGUUCGGCGCUCGCGUUUUUGGGUGCUGUGAAAGUGCGUGACCACCUGUUUGGAGGAGUCCGAUUUUUUUUUUUUUUUCUGUUCAUUGUUUAAAUUAUUUGUUCGACGUCGAAGCCACGAAAAUGUUGGACGGAUUCAAGAUCAAGAAUGCUGUUAUUCGAGAAUCUCUCGCCGAAAUGCUGGGAACAUUCAUUCUUGUGCUUUUCGGCAACACCGUUCUGGCGAUUCUGACCUUCGAGAAAGCCAGUACCGACGGCCUGGCAGCCUGCUUCUGGGGAUGGGGGCUGGCCCUCACCCUCGGAGUCCUGGUCGCCGGAGGAGCAUCCGGGGCUCACCUGAACCCGGCCAUCACGGUUGCUGUGACGACGAUAGGCAAGUUUCCCUGGAGGAAGAUUGUCCCCUACGUGCUCGCCCAGUACAUCGGAGCCUUCAUCGCUUCCGUCGUCCUCUUCAUCACUUAUCGAGGUGCCUUGGAUAAUUUUGAUGGCGGGAAUCGCAUCGUCACCGGCGUCAACGGCACCGCUGGCAUCUUCGCAUCCUAUCCCAAGGAAUUCCUCAGCACCGGAAACGGGCUCGUCGACCAGAUCGUGGGCACGGCGCUGCUGAUGCUCUGCAUCCUGGCCAUCACGGACGCGCGCAACAUGGCGGUGCCCCAGGGUGUCCAGCCGCUGUUCAUCGGCUUCGCGCUGGCCGCCAUCAUCCUCAGCUUCGGCUACAACUGCGGGGCUCCCCUGAACCCGGCUAGGGACCUCGCGCCUCGGGUCUUCACCGCCAUGGCCGGUUGGGGCGGCGAGGUCUUCAGCUUCCGGGACUACAACUGGUUCUGGGUGCCCAUUCUGGGACCCCACAUGGGCGCCAUCCUCGGUGCCUGGAUCUACACCCUCGCCGUGGAGCUGCACUGGCCCGGUGCCACGUACGAGAUGGACGGCGGCAACCCCGUGUCCAUCAAGGACGGUGGGUACACAGGAGCCAUACCCGUCAACCACGUCUGUUGAAAACGGCGUCCGCACCCGCACACACAUAUUCCGUCCCGAGCCACCCGCACUCUUAAAGACAUACAUGGCCCUGAUGG